ensembl:lncRNA
UGUUGUUCCACACGAUACGGAAGUGGCUGGUGUGGCGUGGAUGUUGUGAUUUACGGGCUGCAACGGAGAAUCCAAGGAAAGGGGAGAUUGGAAGUGCGGAGGAAGUUAAGUGAUCAACCUUUUGUAUGUUGUGUUUACAUCUUAUUGUGGAUUGAACUGAAGGAGCGAUCCUAUGUUUGGAAGGCCCCUGAGUGAAGGAGAUCAUUGAAUUCGUAUUGGGAGAGGACAACACUGUGUACUGUGUUGAUAGUAGUGCCUUGCGUUGGAGAUCGCUGGGAAAGACGGAGAGACUCCGGUGUACGAUAUAUACGCCUGCUGUGGUCUGCCCCCUGCCUUCGUCCAUCUGACACGCCCCGCCAGGACUCUGAGCCCGAAACGGGAAUACACCACGGAUCUUCUUUCACUGAGUGUGUGGAGUGCGGUGAGUGCUGCUAUAUUGAAGUGUACACACGAGAAGAAUUGUAGUGCCUUUGUGGUGUGUGGUGUUUGUCCGUGGUUGUGUCCCCGGUCGUAGGAAGAGGCCUGACAGAGAGGAGCAGUGUAUUGGUGGCAACCACAGUCUUUACCUUAAGUAAGCUGGAGCUUGGACGUGUUGGAGGCGCCUCUGGAGGAGGUUGGAUGACGUCGCCCACACAGCGAUCUCUGUAAGCUUUUAAAUCAAAGCCUUACCCUUUCAUCCACGUGACGUUGUGUCAUUGGCCUUGUCAGCAACCACCGGCCUGGUGCGUGUCGUCUGUGCUGUCUCUUUGACAAGGGAAGCGA